rnacentral:rRNA from 1 species
ACCUGGCGGCGAGUGGCGAACGGGUGAGUAAUAUAUCGGAACGUACCCAAGAGUGGGGGAUAACGUAGCGAAAGUUACGCUAAUACCGCAUACGAUCUAAGGAUGAAAGCAGGGGACCGCAAGGCCUUGUGCUCCUGGAGCGGCCGAUAUCUGAUUAGCUAGUUGGUAGGGUAAAGGCCUACCAAGGCUACGAUCAGUAGCUGGUCUGAGAGGACGACCAGCCACACUGGAACUGAGACACGGUCCAGACUCCUACGGGAGGCAGCAGUGGGGAAUUUUGGACAAUGGGCGCAAGCCUGAUCCAGCAAUGCCGCGUGAGUGAAGAAGGCCUUCGGGUUGUAAAGCUCUUUUGUCAGGGAAGAAACGGUGGGAGCUAAUAUCUCUCACUAAUGACGGUACCUGAAGAAUAAGCACCGGCUAACUACGUGCCAGCAGCCGCGGUAAUACGUAGGGUGCAAGCGUUAAUCGGAAUUACUGGGCGUAAAGCGUGCGCAGGCGGUUUUGUAAGUCUGAUGUGAAAUCCCCGGGCUCAACCUGGGAAUUGCAUUGGAGACUGCAAGGCUAGAAUCUGGCAGAGGGGGGUAGAAUUCCACGUGUAGCAGUGAAAUGCGUAGAGAUGUGGAGGAACACCGAUGGCGAAGGCAGCCCCCUGGGUCAAGAUUGACGCUCAUGCACGAAAGCGUGGGGAGCAAACAGGAUUAGAUACCCUGGUAGUCCACGCCCUAAACGAUGUCUACUAGUUGUCGGGUUUUAAUUAACUUGGUAACGCAGCUAACGCGUGAAGUAGACCGCCUGGGGAGUACGGUCGCAAGAUUAAAACUCAAAGGAAUUGACGGGGACCCGCACAAGCGGUGGAUGAUGUGGAUUAAUUCGAUGCAACGCGAAAAACCUUACCUACCCUUGACAUGUACGGAAGCCACGAGAGAUCGAG